rnacentral:lncRNA from 1 species
UUCCAGUCCCCCACAAUGGCAACCAUGAAGAAUUUAUGUUAUUGUGUCUAUCAAGUUUGAAAUGUAAUAUUCAAAAUAGUUCUCAAAUUUAAAGGGCUUUUAUUGCUUGGAUUCAGAGAGGUCUUUUCUGUUACUAAACGUUUCUUACUUUAUGUUUUUCUUUCUUUUCCUUCUGGUUAAAUCUGCUGGUGAUAUGAAGAUUGUGUGACACAAAUCACCUCUAUUCAUCCAUUCCAUAUCCUGAACACAGCAUUCUUUCCCAAAUCAGUAAUCAAAUCCUCAUUCAUAUAAAAAUCUACUACCAAAUGACUGCUAUUAAUUAUCGAGUUGAAGCCAAUGUCUACUUCUGAUUUAUAAUCACAUCCUCUUGAAUCACAGAUCUGUAAGACAUUUUAGAAAUCAUCAGCUCCUACAUACCAACUUUAUAAAUUAGAAAAUUAGAGUGUACUUAAGCAAAGAACUUUGUGAAAUGCCAAAUAAAUAGCAAAAGGGACUGACAUCCGUCUCCAUUUUUUUUUUAACUCUAGGCCUUUCCAUUGUAUCACUCUGCCAUACUAUAUCAUGGCUGAAAAUAUAUAGAGAUUUGAUGGAGCUGAAUGAAGUGAUUAGAGUGAUGGAAAAUGGAAACAUCAUUCACUAGAAACAGUUGAAGUUGCCAGAACCAGUGGCUGACAGAGGGAUAAGACACAAGGGAUUGCUGCUGCUUUUCCAACCCUUGUGCCCAAACUUAAAGCAAGAAGAAGCGAAAGGCUGCACCAAAUGCGGUAACCCUCUUUCCUAGGGGAAAGCCAAACUUUGCAAAAGGACCACCAGAUUUUUCCACUUAUAUUUUGUGGCCCUGAAAUGAAUCAAAGGGACACUCCUUGCUGCAAAUAAAAUGGAGAAAGAAACUAUUUGUCUUUCUUCC